GAGCGAGUGGCGAACUGGUGAGUAACACGUGGGUAACCUGCCCCGAAGCGGGGGAUAACAUUUGGAAACAAGUGCUAAUACCGCAUAAUUAGUUGGAACCGCAUGGUUCCAACUUGAAAGAUGGCUCUGCUAUCACUUUGGGAUGGACCCGCGCCGUAUUAGUUAGUUGGUGAGAUAAAAGCCCACCAAGACGAUGAUACGUAGCCGACCUGAGAGGGUAAUCGGCCACAUUGGGACUGAGACACGGCCCAGACUCCUACGGGAGGCAGCAGUAGGGAAUCUUCCACAAUGGACGAAAGUCUGAUGGAGCAACGCCGCGUGAGUGAUGAAGGUUUUCGGAUCGUAAAACUCUGUUGUUAAAGAAGAACAAGUGUUAGAGUAACUGUUAACACUUUGACGGUAUUUAACCAGAAAGCCACGGCUAACUACGUGCCAGCAGCCGCGGUAAUACGUAGGUGGCAAGCGUUGUCCGGAUUUAUUGGGCGUAAAGCGAGCGCAGGCGGUUUUGUAAGUCUGCUGUGAAAGCCCUCAGCUCAACUGAGGAAGUGCAGUGGAAACUACAAAACUUGAGUACAGAAGAGGAAAGUGGAACUCCAUGUGUAGCGGUGAAAUGCGUAGAUAUAUGGAAGAACACCAGUGGCGAAGGCGGCUUUCUGGUCUGUUACUGACGCUGAGGCUCGAAAGCAUGGGUAGCGAACAGGAUUAGAUACCCUGG
rnacentral:rRNA from 2 species